AGACAUUGUAACUGGAUUCAUUCCAAGUCUAAAACGUCAUCUCACCUGAUUGCUUUUUCGCCCAGGCAUAUUUUUUUUUUCCUCUGCAGUUUCAGGAGGAAAAGGAGUGUGAAAGAAAAUUCUAGGGGUGACAGUGGGAAUCGAACCCAUGACCAGUGUCUAUAAGCCAAAAACCGAAAGCGCUAACCUCUCGGCUAUCAUGCCCCCCCCCCAUUAUUAUUAUAAACAAUUAGAUGUAUACUUUUUCUGUAUGUCAUGGUAUAGAUAAAGUUCAUCAAAGAAACAAAAAUUCUCAUUACAUUAAACAUUAAAAAAUAUUGUGCAUAAGCUUUAAAAACUGUGCUUGUAAUAAACCAAUUACAUUUGA